rnacentral:lncRNA from 1 species
GAAAACACCAGCCUCACACCUGUCAGCUCUUGGCCAGUUGCUCUCCGGGAAGGAUGAGAAGACAGCUGGCCUUAGUUUUUCUGGGCUUUUCUCCAUGGUCCUUUCCGGCAGGGCCAGCCAGAGGCCAAAAUCUUGAACAUAGUGAAGUCGCUUUGCAGCAUCUGCCUCCCCUGGCUGCACCAGGAAAGAUCUGACCAGUGAUUUUUGAACUUCUCGUCUGCUUCAUUUCCAGAGAGGAAGUGCUUUUGAAAUGAC